ensembl:lncRNA
CCCAUGAAGAAACUGAGGAGCUGAGAGCGUCUAUCACUCCUACUGGGUCCUAACAAGAAGGCAGAGCAUAUUUUUAGACCGAAGCAGCAGGCAGCAGAGGAUCAGUCCCCGGAAGAGGAAGCAGAAGCCUGGGGCAUGUCCCCUCCCUGCUGCGGCCUUGGGACGGGACUCGGCACAGUCUGCCUGCUGGGCAUUUGCAGGAGCAGGGCUGCGGGACUUUCAGCCGACCAGCCUUAGCCUGGAAGGUUCCAGCCCAAAGAAGCAGCCGAUUUCCCCCAGGGCGCAGACCAGGGAGGCUGGUCCCCAACGCCUUUCCAAAGCAGAGCACGAGAUGCUGAUCUCAAUUCACGCAAGAGAUCAGCUGGAAGAGUCACGUGUCUGCUUUUCCCCUAACGAGGCAGGAAAAAAACGCUUCCCUCGUGGGCCCUGGCAGCUGGCUCCUGGGGUACGUCACAGUCACACCCCCUAAGCAAGACGCAGAGUCUCAAGCUGGCAGGGGGCGUCUGAGAUCAGCCAGCCCGGCCUCUCAGUUUACGGUUGGGAACAGACGCAGGUCCGGAACAGACGCAGGGCGGUUGGUCGGGCUGCCCAAGGUCACAGAGCCCGGGAGGGGAGGGGUAGGCACAGUGGAAACAGUGAGCGCACGUGAGCCCGACCGCGCCCAGGCCUGUGGUUCCCAGGUACGAGGCUCAGAGAGGUAGGUGGGUGACCUCGCCAACGCCCUCUCCAGGCAGCCGAGCCAGGAGGGAACUCCGGGCACCUGAAGUUACCUACCAGCUUUCCUUUGGACCAACAGCACCCUUCAGGGACAUGCUCAAGAUCCCCGAAUAGUCACCGCCUCCCCUGUGCCAGAAUGAGAUGAACCCAGCUGUUCUUCGGGACCUUUGUGAGUUCCAGCCUUCGGGUUGACAAGACUUGGUCACCUGGACCCCUGAGGUUUCGCCAUCACUACUAGGAGAGCAGCCAUGCGCACGCUCAGGAGGUCACGCGUCCAGGAGAUCAGAGGCCACCGUCCUGGUUGAUGACACCCCAGAAGCACAAACUCCGUCUCACUGGGAGGCUUUGCACAUCAUCAAAGGGCAAGCAAGUGACCCGCAGAGGCUUGGACGGUUCCCGGAAAAGGGCUUAGCUCAACUGCACGGCAAAGAGAUAGACUUCUGUCUGGGGCCUGGACACAACCCACAGCAGAUGCCUCAGCCCUGCAGGGGUCAGGGCCAGUUUCUGAAC